CAAACUAUUCAUCAAGAUUCAUUCAUUCAUUAGCACUGAAUAAAUAACAGCAAGUACAGACCACACAUAAAUCACACAAAGCAUCUAGACAGGCUGCACUAGGAGGACCAUUCCUUCCAAGAUUCCCUACUUAUUAGGGACAGUCCCUACUUUGGCCCAAAUCCCUCUGUCCCUCUUUUCUAUCCUAAUGCAUCUCUUUUCUGGGAGCUCCAUAUUGUUGGUGUGUCUGAGUGUAUAACAGAGCUCCACAGC